CAGCAGCCGCGGUAAUACGAAGGGUGCAAGCGUUACUCGGAAUUACUGGGCGUAAAGCGCACGUAGGCGGCUUGGUAAGUUAGAGGUGAAAGCCUGGAGCUCAACUCCAGAAUUGCCUUUAAGACUGCCGAGCUAGCAGGUGAGAGAGGUAAGUGGAAUUCCGAGUGUAGAGGUGAAAUUCGUAGAUAUUCGGAAGAACACCGGUGGCGAAGGCGACUGACUGGACAAGUAUUGACGCUGAGGUGCGAAAGCGUGGGGAGCAAACAGGAUUAGAUACCCCUGUAGUCCCUGUCUCUUAUAC
rnacentral:rRNA from 1 species